rnacentral:rRNA from 1 species
GACGAACGCUGGCGGCGUGCUUAACACAUGCAAGUCGAACGGAAAGGCCCUGCUUUUGUGGGGUGCUCGAGUGGCGAACGGGUGAGUAACACGUGAGUAACCUGCCCUUGACUUUGGGAUAACUUCAGGAAACUGGGGCUAAUACCGGAUAGGAGCUCCUGCUGCAUGGUGGGGGUUGGAAAGUUUCGGCGGUUGGGGAUGGACUCGCGGCUUAUCAGCUUGUUGGUGGGGUAGUGGCUUACCAAGGCUUUGACGGGUAGCCGGCCUGAGAGGGUGACCGGCAAAUUGGGGAAGAGAAGACGCCCCAGCCUCCGGGGGGGGGAGGAGGGGGGAAAUUUUGAACAUGGGGGGGAGGCGUGAGGCAGCACGCCCCGGGGGGGGAGGGCGGCCUGGGGGUGUAAAACCUGUUCCGCCGGUGACGAAGGGUGGGGGAGGGAAGGGGAUAAAAAGCACCCGGCUAACAAGGGC